GUGGGGAGGGGUGGACAUAGUUGCACCUGUGCAGAUAGAUUUACUUCCUUUAAAGAAAUACUUCUUUCACAACUACUGGGUUAGGCUGUCCUUCUUAGUAUGACAUUACUUGUCUUUUGGAGGUGUUGCUGUUACCUUCAAGCAUUGGGUCACAGAUCUUGGAGUGGACCCUAAAGGUGACAGAAAGCCUGUGCAAGCUUGGUCAACGUAGUUGCUAGAGAAAAAAAUUAUUUAUGAAGUACCUACCAUGCCUCAGGCAUGGGCUCUUUCCAUGGCAUUUUCAAUCAAGUGAAGCACAUUGGACAGGUGUUGGGAGCAGAGAGCACGUGGAAAAUUCUUGCCUGCUUUUCAACAUCCACCCAAGAAGUAAUCAUUGGGCAAAACUGACCACCAGGCCUCAUCUCACUGCAAGGGGGCUGAAGAAUGUGAGGAAGCAAAUGAAUACUGAAAGCAAGAUAUACUUUGCCACAGAACUCUUCUAAAUGCAGCUAAACCUUCCCACAGCUAAGAUGCAUGGGGUUCUGGGCAGUGGGGGGUAGACUGAAAUGUCCAUCUGGAGAGGAGGUCAGGGAUGGAUUGAGAUAGAGCAGAGGAAUCAGAGAUGCAGCGAUAGCCUCAGAGAGGGUUGGGAGCCUAGUCAGCACGAUGCAUGCCCAGCCUGGACCCAGAGUCCUGCCAAAGGUCUGUUCUUGGAGACCUUGGAAGGAAAGGGUCCCUUGAGGCUUUCGAUUUUCAACCCCCCCCCCUCCCAGGUGAGUCACCAGAUGAACAGCAGGGCAGGAACCCAACAUGAGGUCAUCUGGGCCAUACCUCCUGCCUGACCCUGGACCUCAGGCCAAUUUGGGGAGUUUCUCAAGGCCAGUGAGGAAAGGGUUCAUGCCAGAGCUGCUGCAGAACUCAGGUCAUCACUAAGAAGUAGAGGACAGAAGACAAAGCUCCAGCUGGCAGAGAAAGAUGAAUGUGAGAGAAGGAAAAGUUUUAUCUAAGCCUGGAACCCAAGAAGAGAACCUCUGCCUGCCCAAAUCAGAUCAACACAAAUCUAUAUUUUCAAAAAACCUAAAGCAAGGAAAAUGUUAGCUUUAUAAACUCCACUUUGGAAAAGUUUUAGAACAGACCUUAUUAUAGAGUUCCACUAAGGCACCUGGUAUGGUAUUUCAUAUGGAAUUUGAUUCACAGAACUUUUAAUUUCAUCAGUAAAAUGUUAUUAACAACUCCCAUCUUGUAAGGCAUCAAAAGUUUUUAAAACAUGGUGUCCAAUCAAAAUUACAUCUGUCUGUAGGUUCCUUAAGGUUCUCCAAAUCACUAGGAAUACAGAGGCCCCUGUCUGUUCAAAUCAGGAAAAUGUGAGACCCUUUUCAUAAAGGAGAAACUGACAUUAGAGUAAGAAUUGGAGCCCAGACCUGGGAAGUUGUCAACCCUCUCUAUGGCCAAGAGGAAGAAGUGUGUGGGACCUGGUCAGUUACAGAACUUUUUCAGUUCUGAAUCUCACAUCCUUUCUUCAGUAGGCAUCCAUAGAAGGGAAUUGCUUCUGUGAGCGAGAGGCCAGGGUUCAUUCAAGGAGCAAACUCUCUUCCUCUUUUAUCUUGUCCAGGGAUGCCCAAAGGACCUGCCCUCUGCUGAUAUCUACAAAAGAUGAUAUUUUCAAAAUGUCCAAGAGUCUCUGAUCUGUGUGUUCAGCAGGAUAACCAAGCUACUGCCUAUCAGAGCAGGGGGCCUAACACCCCUUCCAUUACUGGUUGGCUCUGAUUAUCUUGAGGCUGCCAUGCUUUGAAGAAGUCAAACCACAUAGAGAAAUCAUCAGUGUUGGCCCCAGUGCCAAAGGUGUGAGUGAGGAGCCUUCAGACAACUCCAGCCCCCAUCCCCUGCCUGGGAGCCCACUCAGCUGGAGCACCAGAC
ensembl:lncRNA